UACGUAGGUGGCAAGCGUUGUCCGGAUUUAUUGGGUUUAAAGGGUGCGUAGGCGGUCUAUUAAGUCAGUGCUGAAAUAUCCCGGCUUAACCGGGAGGGUGGCAUUGAUACUGAUGGACUUGAGUGCAGUCGAGGUAGGCGGAAUUGACGGUGUAGCGGUGAAAUGCUUAGAUAUGACAUAGAACACCAAUUGCGAAGGCAGCUUACUACAGGGAUAUUGACACUGAGGCACGAAAGCGUGGGGAUCAAACAGG
rnacentral:rRNA from 1 species